rnacentral:snoRNA from 1 species
CCUCCUUUUCUUGGCGGGGGCCGGGUGUGUAGUCCCGCUCCCUGUUAUGUACGGAGGCAGAGGGAAAGGGCUCCGGCUCCCUCGGCGUCAUGUUUUCGGUGCCGGCGGCUUCUUGUCCACUGGUUCUAUCCUCAAGCACCGAGACACCU